rnacentral:rRNA from 1 species
GACGAACGCUGGCGGCGUGCCUAAUACAUGCAAGUCGAGCGGAAUGAUGAAGAAGCUUGCUUCUUCUGAUUUUAGCGGCGGACGGGUGAGUAACACGUGGGCAACCUACCUUGUAGAUUGGGAUAACUCCGGGAAACCGGGGCUAAUACCGAAUAAUCCAUUUUGCUUCAUGGCGAGAUGUUGGAAGACGGUUUCGGCUGUCACUACAAGAUGGGCCCGCGGCGCAUUAGCUAGUUGGUAGGGUAAUGGCCUACCAAGGCGACGAUGCGUAGCCGACCUGAGAGGGUGAUCGGCCACACUGGGACUGAGACACGGCCCAGACUCCUACGGGAGGCAGCAGUAGGGAAUCUUCCACAAUGGACGAAAGUCUGAUGGAGCAACGCCGCGUGAGUGAAGAAGGUUUUCGGAUCGUAAAACUCUGUUGUAAGGGAAGAACACGUACGAGAGUAACUGCUCGUACCUUGACGGUACCUUAUUAGAAAGCCACGGCUAACUACGUG